rnacentral:lncRNA from 1 species
AAAUCUUUAAAAGUAAUAAUAAAUAAAUACAUAAAAUCUUUUUUAAAAGUACCCAUAUCACAUAUUAAGAAUAUUUAUUUAGCCAUAAACAAGUUUUAAAAGACUUUUGUGAUUUUUUUCACUUGAAAUUUUGACUAAUUUCUAUUUAGCUGUUUUCUUUGCUUAUUUUGCAGCUAGUGCUUUUGUCUUUAGUUCUCAAACAUUUUUGUGGGGUGAUGAAAAGCCUCUAGGCUCUGAGCCCUGAGCUCCCCCUGCCAAAGGUUAAGAAGACUGCACCAGAGCUGGCCACUGUUGGGUGUAGCAAAUUAGGUGUUUACUGACCUGUCUCCUCUGGGGGACUGGGGGACUUCAAGAAUCAGAGCCUGACUCUUCUCUGUGACCCUGGCAGCCAACAGCCAGCCAACGCAGAGCAGAGCUCAGGCAAUGUCCAUAGAAUGAAUAAAUUCAUGAAUUCCCCUAAAAAUCUUUCUUCUCUGUAAAUCUAAUAUAAUGCAACUCGAAUUUAUUUCUGUAUCUGUCAAUUGUGUGGCACCCCUCUAUAAAAUAUUUCCAUAAUCUAUGUCCGUUCUCUCCAAAGAUCUCUGCUCACAUCACACUGCUUAAGUGUCAGGAGCCUACCAUGCACCUUUGUGUUACCUCUCCUGAGCCUCACGACAACUUCAUAAAGUAGAUCCUAUUAUCGUGGGGCACCUGGGUGGCUCAGUGGUUGAGCAUCUGCCUUUGGCUCAGGGCAUGAUCUUGGGGUCCUGGGAUCAAGUCCCAUGUUGGGCUCCCCAUGGGGAGCCUGCUUCUCCCUCUGCCUGUGUCUCUGCCUCUCUCUGUGUCUCUCAUGAAUAAAUAAAUAAAAUCUCAUAAAUAAAUAAAUAAAUAAAUAAAUAAAUAAAUAAAUAAAUAAGAUUCUAUUAUUGCUAUUUAACAGACACUGAAACUGAGGCUCAGGAUAGGGAACCAGACUGCAAAUAAGGGGUCGCAGUGUGAAGAAGUGAACUAAGGGUUGUCCAGUUCCCUGUCCUCCAGCCCCCCUCAAUACCACUCUCCUGCUGCCCACAGGUCCCACUGCCAGCCCUCGCUCCUCGCCUGCUCCUUGUCUAUUCCUCUGCUUCUAGGUAAGACACAGACCUCGGCUGCACCCAAACAAUCUAUCUUGUCAGCAGUGGGGCUGUCUCAACACCAUGGCUCCACUGAAUCCCAUCAAUGCUUCCUGAGCACUUACCAUGUGCCAAACACUGAGCAGAGAAGCAGAGCUAAAAUAAAGAAUGCCAAGGUCUGGGGAAUCCCUGGAUGGCUCAGUGGUUUGGUGCCUGCCUUCGGCCCAGGGCGUGGUCCUGGAGACCUGGGAUCAAAUCCCACAUCAGACUCCCUGCCCGGAGCCUGCUUCUCCUUCUGCCUGUGUUGCUGCCUCUCUCUCUCUCUUUCUCUCUCUCUCUCUCUCUCUCUCUGUGUGUGUGUGUGUGUGUGUGUGUGUGUGUCUCAUGAAAGAAUAAAUAAAGGAUCUUAAAAAAAAAAUAGAAUGCCAAGGUCACCUGGCUGUGAGCUCCUGAAGGCCAGGGACCAAGCCCAGAGCAGAGAGACAGUGGGCCCUCCCCAGCUCAUCCUCUACUUUGAGGAUGUUGGAGAAUGUCACUUUCAUACACCUGCCACCUCUCAAGCCAGGCAGGGAACCCCUGUGCUGCCCCAUCUCUCUCCCAUGUUGAGUCCAUUCCCCUGGGUAGGACGGCCUCUGAGCUGGGGGCACCAGCCACCCUCCACCCCUGCACAGCAUUUGUCAAAGAAGCACAGAGAUAGGCCAGACCCACCUGCCACCCUCCUUCCAGGGCCCCUCGGUCAGAGGGUCAGCAUGUUCAUGAGAGGGUCCCAAAAUGACCCUCCUUGAAAUUCCCCAAAACUACAGUGCUUUUCAGUUGGCAAAACGCUCCACCUGCUUUCCUUCAGAUGAUCCUGUCCCCAGUCCACCUACAGGUAAGGAAUCAUCCAGGUCCACUUGGCUCCUGGAGGCAGAGUUCAGGCUGGGACCCAGGAGUCCCUCAGUACCCCAGAAAGGCCCCUCUCCUUCCCAAAACUCAGCUCCCCAUCUGUGCCCUAAAGGAGUUCAGCUGGACAACCUCUACGAUCCCUUCAGGCUCCAACCUACCCUGGCGAGGGAGGCUGGCCAUGUUAGAGAAGAGGAAACUAAAGCCCUGACCAGUGGUGCAUGGUGGCUGCGCAGCGUCCUGGAACUGCACUGUCAGGGAGAAAGAUGCCGUGGAAGCAGUACUGGCACAAGGAAGGCUUGGGGGCUGGGAAGCUCACCCCACCAAAACCAGCCAGGGGAUUCCUAAAAUCCACCCAAGCAGUUACAGGCUGCCAGGCUCAGAUUCAGACAGCCAAAUGGUACGCACGGUAUGCCUCUCAGCCCAGGGCUAGUGGAAGGGCCCAGACUUCCAGUAAUGAUGAUCAACACAGUAACUGUAGCAGCACACCCGGCGAUCUACUGCGGCGUCGGCCACUCUCUGCCCAUUCCCUUCUCUCCCCCACAAAGCUACCAGGUAAGUGGUAAUGACCCCAUUUUACAGAUGGGAACCCCUGGCUCUUGUUCUGCCCUAGGUCCCACAGGCAGGAUAAGGGCACCUUGCUCUGACCACCCCAAAGCCCUCACCCUUUGACUCACCCCAGAGCCCCAAUUCUGUCUGCCCCCCACGGUGGAGGCAUGUUGCAGCUCAGUGGCCUGGGAGGGCCUGGGGGGGGGGCCAGGGUCAGGGCACAGAGCCGAGAGACAGAUGACCCAGGCGCAGGCGAGUGCCUGCCGGGGGCCUCAGCCAGCACAUCUGCAAAACCAGGAAUUUGACCGAGAGCUUCGCCAAGGCCCUUCCUCAGGCUGUGCCACUCAGGAUGUCUCCAGGCCUGCAGACCUCACCAGCAGGCCACUGCCGACGCUGAUGCUGCAGAUGGGGGCUGUGUCCCUGUGGUGGCUGAAGUGCUCUAGUGACUCCCCACAUGCGGGCAGCUUAAGUUGCCUGUGGUCCCUUGGCAGGAAUGUGUCUGAGCUGGACCUGGAGCCAAGCCACAGACUCUGGGACGGAGGGGACAACUCAGAAGCCCAAGCUGGCACAUCACAGUGUGCCCAAGGGCCCUUCCUAAGGAAACAGCAAGGACCCCUAGGCGAAGGUGGGGACAGGUGAGGGGCACCCAGGAGAGCAGGCCCGUUGACCCGCCUCGACAGGCCCACAGCCUGGGCUGGGCUCCAGGCCUCAGGGGAGACAGUCACAUGGGGGCGGAGGGUGUAGCCAUCCUGGGAAAGAGGGAAGACAGAAGGAGGAGACCCUUGGUAAGGGAAUGACAGGAGGGGGUCCCCAUCCCAAGUGGGAACAGGGGUACAUCUGUGAUGAAAAGCAGACCUCCGAUCUUAGGGCCAUGGGCCCACCCGCCAGGGCGGGCUCCUAUUACCAGCCGGACCCUGAUGCCCUUCCUCUGACAUCUCUGCCUCAGGCCUCUCCCUGCGCCGCCCCCACCAGCAACUCUUUCUCUCUCUCUCUCUUGCAUUCCUCUGGGAGCUGAUCAGGGCUUGAAUGACACCCCAGAUGACUCUUUGCUAUUAAUUCCCACACACAGAAUGGGCCCCUUGUUCUCCUCUCCCGGAGGAAUAGCCGUGGCCAAAGCCAUCCCAAGAGUUCCUGACUUAACCCUUCUCCUGGCUGCUCCUCCACACGUCCCCACACCCAGGGCCACAGGGCCAGCAGGAGGUGGCAUGCAGAGAGGGAGACUGGGAAAAAACAGAGACUCCUCCAGUCCAGAGCUCCUGGAAUGAAAUCGCCAGGAUGGGACAGCAGGACCACCCAACCUUCCCAGGGAUCCUGUCCCUGGCUUCUCGCCUGAGGCUCUCAGCCUGGCCCUGGCGGCCAGAAGGCCUCACCACCCAAGUACGGGAGGCCCAGGGCUGAUAGCCUCGCCACGGCCAGCCUGAUGCCUCUGACCCCAGGGAGGACCCUUCAGGGGACAACUGGCAGGCUUGAGCCCUCAGCCCUACCUGGUCCUGAGGGAGUUAACAGGACUAGGGCAGAAGCCACCUGUCCAGGCAGGUCACUGAUGAGAGACAAGAGGUGCAUGGACUUUUGAGCCUGGAGACAGAGGAGGAACUGGUCUGUUGAGUCAAAAUACACCAUCUAUUCUUGGCCUGUCCCCACCCCUCCAGCUUAGACAACGGAGUGAGAAGAGCUUCAGAGGCCAUGAAGGCCAACCCAUCCCUGCUUAAAAGGGGGAACUGAGACCCGAAGGGCAACAGCAUGGCCUCCAUCCCUCCACAAGUCGGAGGCACAGCCUGGGACGCAGGUCCCUAGCUUCUAAACCAAGCCACCUGGGUGGCUCAGUCACUUAAGAGUGCAUCUUCAGAUGAGUUGGGGAUCCCAGGGUCCUGGGAUCAACCCCAUGUUAGGCUCUUUCCUUGGCGGGGAGUCUGCUUCUCCCUCUGCCUGCGCUCCCUGGCUUGUGCUCUCUCUCUCUGUGUGUGUCAAAUAAAUAAAUAAGAUCUUUUAAAAAUAAUAAUAUAAAAUAAACCAAGACAUGUUCACCUUCUCCAUCCCCUCCUUUUCCACGAUCCACCCUGUCCCUGCCACUGAGCCAAUGCUGCAAGCCUGUGGUGUGACCGUGAGCCCAUCAUUUUAACUCUCUGGGUGGUGGAAAGCUCGAGCCGGAAGAGCACACAGACACCUGCUCUACGGUCAGCAUCAGCCACCUUUGCCUCGUGCCCCAGGACAAGGUACAAACCCUUCUGUCUCCAGCUCAGCGAGGACCAUCUCAGAAGGACUUGAACCCAUCCUCCCAACCCUGCCUCUUCCCAUCCCCACAGACAAUGCGGAGGGAGCACAGGGUGGAGACCCCAGAGGCAGCAGCAGCUAAGCUGGGAAGAAGAAGAGGGAAGUGGGGUGCUGGGCACAGGCCAGAGGGAGCAGCAGUGUGGCCAGCACAUGCAGGUGGCCAGGUCAAGAUAGCCUGGGGAGCAGCAAGCCGCGACAUGGGCUGCAGCCAGGCUGGGAGGACCUGGAAGGUCAGGACAGGCGGCACUGGGCGCUUAGCCCCAAGAUCUGCUCUAAUCACAUGAAAAACAUCUUGGCUGCUCUAAGUUGUCACCUCUGCCAUCUCUCUCGCUUUCCCUCCACCCCCUGGCAGCCUCCCCAGAUUUCCAGGUAGAUGGAGCCAGGGCAGGUGAGGGAUGGCCAGGGGAGCGGGAUGGGCUGCAGAGAUGGAAAGUUUGUGGAGAGAGAUGGAGGCCUUGAGAGCAGAGCCGGGACAGAGAUGGCCAGCCAGGGGCUGAGGGGGCCAGAAAAGGAAGGACGCUGAGACAGAAGCAACCACCUGUGGG